rnacentral:rRNA from 1 species
AACGAACGCUGGCGGCGUGGAUAAGACAUGCAAGUCGAACGGGAUAUUUUUGUAGCAAUACCGGAAUAUUCAGUGGCGAACGGGUGCGUAACACGUGGGUAACAUGCCGGGAAGAGGAGAAUAGCCCAGGGAAACUUGGAUUAAUGCUCCAUGUGGUCGCAAGACUAAAGACGGGGUAACCUGUCGCUUCCUGAUUGGCCCGCGGCCUAUCAGCUAGUUGGCGAGGUAACGGCUCACCAAGGCGACGACGGGUAGCUGGUCUGAGAGGAUGACCAGCCACACUGGAACUGAGACACGGUCCAGACACCUACGGGUGGCGGCAGUCGAGAAUCUUUCACAAUGGGGGCAACCCUGAUGGAGCGACGCCGCGUGGAGGAUAAGGUCUUCGGAUUGUAAACUCCUGUCAUGCGAGAGUAAGGCCCCGCGUUAACUGCGUGUGGGAUUGACAGUAUCGCAAGAGGAAGAGACGGCUAACUCUGUGCCAGCAGCCGCAGUAACAC